GCCGAGUAUAAUGGUGCGAACCUGUAGGCCCAGCUACUAAGGAGGCUGAGGCAGGAGAAUUGCUUGAACCUGGGAGGCAGAGGUUGCAGUGAGCCGAGAUCACACCAUUGCACUCCAGCCUGGGCAACAAGAGCUAGACUCUGUCUCAAAAAAAAAAAAAAAAAAUUAUGCCCUCUUAGAAGCCAGAGACCACUAGGCUGCCUUAGGUGGGGUGAAUAGGCCCAGGUCAGAGAUGGAGCAGGUCAAAACUCUUGUGCUGAUCAGUAGUGGGAUAGUGCCUAUGAAUCACCACUGCACUCCAGCCUGGGCAACAGAGUGAGAUUCUGUCUCAA
rnacentral:SRP_RNA from 1 species